rnacentral:rRNA from 1 species
CAGCAGCAGCCACGGUAAUACAGAGGGUGCGAGCGUUAAUCGGAUUUACUGGGCGUAAAGCGUGCGUAGGCGGCUUUUUAAGUCGGAUGUGAAAUCCCUGAGCUUAACUUAGGAAUUGCAUUCGAUACUGGGAAGCUAGAGUAUGGGAGAGGAUGGUAGAAUUCCAGGUGUAGCGGUGAAAUGCGUAGAGAUCUGGAGGAAUACCGAUGGCGAAGGCAGCCAUCUGGCCUAAUACUGACGCUGAGGUACGAAAGCAUGGGGAGCAAACAGGAUUAGAUACCCGCGUAGUCCCUGUCUCUUAUAC